rnacentral:sRNA from 2 species
UCGAAAGACAUUCAUUCAAGAAAUUCUAACGUGAUUAUCGUAAAUAGCCGGAAUUGUAGAUAUUUACAAUGACAUAGAUCAUUUUUCUUCGACGAAAUUACGGCCUAAUGUCGAGACAAGAAUAAUAUGACGCUGAUCUGUGUUUUGACAAGAAUAUGAAUGAUCUUAAGAAAAGGCUUCACUGAAUCAAUUGAAAGACAGCGUCUUCAAUUGUCCUACUAAAUUCUUUACAGAUGACAUCUGGGUCUGGGGAGAUCAUGCAAAAAAAUAAGACAUCAUUUAUAACUUUCAACCUUCCGCUCACAGGACAAAUUCUCGAAGACGCUACGGAAAGAUGCUGAGCUUGAUCAUAAUUCUUCAGGCUCCCAAUUCAAGAAUACAAUUACUUAGCGUGGGUGCUUCUGCUCAGUCUUCGUUUCCUAUCUCCACAUACCAAUCACUCGUUUGUUACUAAUUCGAAUAAUUUACUGCUGUAAGGAGUCGUACCGCCAACUAAAUCUGAAUAACAAUUUGGCUGCUAGAAGUUAAAAAGUAGGCGCUGCAAUGAUUAUGUGGUAUGAUCAGAUUGUGUCGCAACGCUCAGCGGGGUUUUGGCUCAAUGGGACCGCUGCUAAUAAAACGUUUAACUAGCGAAUUUUGGAACACACCCGUUGACAAAAGUAUAAGGAGUCUCUUUCCGUGAGUUCCCCUCUUCCUCUCACUGCACUUCAACUAUGCCUUAUAGCAACCAAGAAGCUAGAAAAUGCCAACUAUUAAAAAGAUAACCUCUUUGGAAGCAAAUAAAACGGAGAUUAUCUUGGGAUCUAUUUCACAAAUUUACGGCUAAUUGGAAUGAACAGCGCCAAGUAGCACUGGUCAAACUGCAGAGAGUAUUAGAACUUGCUUUAUUCCGUAUAUCGUACUUUAGGUCGUCAGUUUUACCACUUCGGUACGCAAAUGAAAAUGAAAAGCUCAUUCACAACUUAGACACAAUUUCGCCGUUUACAAGUAGCUGAAAAGUCCAUCUAUCGAAUUAUGAAUGAUACUAUUUUAAAUAUAGUCGUUGCUGCACUCGUUUUCCAUGUUCUUUUUAUCCACACAUCCGAUGCUUUACUUUCAGUUGAGCAUCUCAGGGCCAGCGACAAAUAUAAACAUAUUAUACUCAAAAUGAAGCUCGUUGAAAAGAGGAUAUUUCUUAACCUCUUUUACAGUGUUUUCAACACCUUUUCAUCUGUGUGCCAUGUCAGAUUAAGGAUGCUCAACUUUUCGAAUUAUUAUUACAAAUUUCAAAGAAAUUACUAGUCCUUUUUGUCCCCUAAUGUAUCCCUCAUUUCAUACCGUCGUUUUGGGGUUCCAACUACGUAUAGCUUUCAAGUGUGGUUUUACGGUAAGAACAACCCCCCAUCGGUUAGUGCGGAAUACUUUCCUAUUCUCAUCGAGAGCCGAGCCAUACACCUAAGGUGGACAGAAAGCUAAAAUUCCAAAACAGAAAAAUCUAACAUCUUUGCUCCCUUACAAGUAGGAACGCUAGCGUAUCAACCCAUCUCCAGAUUUGCCCAGCAUUUCUGUAGAACACCCAAUGCGAAUGAAGACUAAUGAAUAUUGUAAAGACAAAAAAUAGGAAAAGUUUAAUUGGUGAUGGUUCUCACCACCCCAAAACGGUCACUUGCAUGCAUUGAGGACAUGCACCUGCAGUACUUGUUUUUCUCGAAUGUUUUUUACCAUCUCUUUUUUCCUUAUCUGAGCUGCUGACGCAGACGGACAUUGUUUCAUAUUUCGAAAGCUGUGCGGGAAAACGGACCCUAACACGAAUGUGAAUGCGCUAAUCGGUAUUUCCACCACAUGAAACCUGCUACUUUUUCAGUCCUCUUCGUAUGCAUUUCCCAAAAUUCAUUCGUAGCCUUGUCAACUUAGACUCAGUUCCACGGCGUGCAGGACGGGGUAUUAUGAAUAAAAGGAUCCACGGGUGAGAUUUGUUCUAUGUUUUAGGUAUGGAGUUUUGUACCACAAAACUUUAGGAAUACCGGAUUGUGUGCCUACGCCAGCCCCAGAGUAUGUUCUCACAGCUGUAAUUCCUAGUGAUCUUUUCCUGGCUCCAAUAGGAACGCCGGCAGGCAAAUUAAACUUUCGCGGCAGGAAAAAAAAGGCUUUUUCUUUUUUGCCUUUCAGUUUCUCGGAAUGUGGCAUUACAUAAGCAAAAUCCUUUUUGGGUGUGCCUGGAAAGUUCAAAUUAAGGUUUUUUUCUUCUGUUUUCUUGACAAGAAAAUGUCGCCCAAAGAGUUUCGGCCGUUAUUUUCCUAUCGAAGUGGGUCCUUUUUGUCUUUAGUCCUUCUCUGGGGCUAGCGAUCACUGCAAAAUUAGGCUUUACUGGUACGAGUUAACUUUUUUUCUUUUGUUUUGUCAUCCUUUUCUUUGGGGCUAAGAAUGGACUUCCCUUUUCUUUUUCUUUGUUGCAGCAGUGGCUUCAAAGAACUGCUGAUUGCUCAAGGCAAUCAGUCCGAGCGUUUAGAAGGUGAUUGUAGGCAGAAAUUAACUUUGCGGUAAAAGAAUGACAUUCUUUCUUAAAAGAAAAAUUAGCUUUUUUUUGUCAGGCAUUGCACAAACUUUUUUAUUUCUGCCUAUACUCUUAAACAGAUCAGUCAUUCAUGUUGUCUUUUUAACGAUCGUACUGGGACAUCGCAUGCCUUGGGAUUCCGUAAUUAGGUGCAACAAUACGGGCACAACUCAUUCUGCGCUAUCUUCACGGACAGAACUUCUAUUGCCUAUCGGUGGUGUGAUUAACAAUUGGAAGCGCAGAGCUUGGAAUGGAUUUUCAAUUCAAUGGAUUUGGAGGUAUUCGUUUGUUUACUAAUAUUUACUUUGAGGACAUUGUCCAACCCUAAAAGUGCCUGUUCCAGAAUAGAAUAACAUUAUGAUACGUUUUCUUGACCGCUGAGCAAUUUAAAGCAACUAUUAGGGUACGAUUGUUUCUAGAGAAAUGUGGGUCAUCUUUUUAGGUCCGUUCUCUUCUGAUGAGGUAACCUUUUCUUUACAAAAAUGUCAUAGAGUUACCAAUUGGGAUUCAAGGCAUCAUCGCAAUAUACUUCGUUCUUUUACGGAGAAAUUAAGCUCUUUCCACUUUGAAUUAACUGUUAGACUUGUCUUAUCUGAGGAAUGUCCGUGUUCAAAUUAAAUAAAAAUUUAGGGCAGUUUUAUUUACCUUAACAAAUAUGUUCAAGCAUGUAGGU